GAUGAACGCUGGCGGCGUGCCUAAUACAUGCAAGUCGAGCGAACAGAUAAGGAGCUUGCUCCUUUGACGUUAGCGGCGGACGGGUGAGUAACACGUGGGUAACCUACCUAUAAGACUGGAAUAACUCCGGGAAACCGGGGCUAAUGCCGGAUAACAUUUAGAACCGCAUGGUUCUAAAGUGAAAGAUGGUUUUGCUAUCACUUAUAGAUGGACCCGCGCCGUAUUAGCUAGUUGGUAAGGUAACGGCUUACCAAGGCAACGAUACGUAGCCGACCUGAGAGGGUGAUCGGCCACUGGAACUGAGACACGGUCCAGACUCCUACGGGAGGCAGCAGUAGGGAAUCUUCCGCAAUGGGCGAAAGCCUGACGGAGCAACGCCGCGUGAGUGAUGAAGGUCUUCGGAUCGUAAAACUCUGUUAUUAGGGAAGAACAAAUGUGUAAGUAACUGUGCACGUCUUGACGGUACCUAAUCAGAAAGCCACGGCUAACUACGUG
rnacentral:rRNA from 1 species